GUAUUUCUUAAGGCCAAUAUUAAUUCAGUUUCCAGCUUAAGGCUUUCAAGCAGUGGAAGACCAGUUGAUCCAGGACAGUUACAAGCAUGGGGGUGCCGUCCCCAAAAGGAGUGGGGAGGAAGAUGGAAGUCUACCUUUGCUCCAUGAUUGUCGCUCUAGUUGCUGCUAAUGGCAUGGAGGGAAGGAGAAAUGUUGGUCAUGAGUCAAGAGAAGCUGAGCAUGAAGUUCAUCAUUUCAGAGAAAUAGCACUUUUUUGCCACUUGAGGGGGCACUUCUAAUAACAGAUCUUCUGAAUGUAUUUUGAAUGAAUGCAUAAAAAGGAACCA